GGAAGGCGUCUUCAUAAACGCCGUUUCCACUUUUCAUUCUUUCUUCCAGAUCUGAAUUUGAAUUUCAUCGGAAAAAACUGCGAAAAUGAGAGAAUGCAUUUCAAUCCACAUCGGACAGGCCGGAAUUCAGGUCGGAAAUGCAUGCUGGGAGCUUUAUUGCCUUGAACAUGGCAUUCAGGUACAUGAUUUUUCAAUUUUUCUUUCUUCUUCAGAUAAGCACAUUGUUGUUAAGAAGCUUGACGUCGUUGUGUAUGUUAUAGAUCUGUUUGAAUUUGUUAGUUUGAAUUAUUUGAAUGUGUUUGUUUUUGUGUAGAUCUAGUUGAUUCUGAAUAGAAAUGUGUUGUUAUCUUAUAGAUCUAUUUGAAUCCAGAAGUUUGUCUAAUUUAGCGAUUGGUUAUAGAUUUUGAAGACUUCUCUUCAAAAAUUUGUUUGGCCAUGAAAUUUGAGCAGGUUUUGAAAAUUUGAUCUUCAAAUAUUUUCAAUUAAAAUGCAUGUCCAAACACAACAUUAAAAACUCAUUGUAUUUUUUCAAGUUUCAACUGUUUGGCAACAAUGGAAUGAUCACAAUAAUAACAUAUUUAGUUAUUUAGCAAAAUAAUUGUACCAAAAUUAGAUAAAUAUGGCUAUAAUAUUUUGAAUAUUCAUAGAUAAUACUCGAGUUGUGUACUGUUCUAAAUGUUUCCAAAGAUUAAACUAGUCUUCUCUGGGAAUCAACAAAAUUUUAUUAAUACUAAUACUAGCAAGUUUUUUUUUAUGGGAGAAAUAAAAGCCAACAAAAGAAGAUAGUUAAAUUAGAAAGGCAUAAAAGGAAGAGUAGGAUGUAUUUUGCUGAGUAAAAUUGAAGCGUAUUUAUAGGCUUGAAGUGGUUUGUUUUCUCCUACAAGUGUCAAAUUUAUGUGCAAAGGAAAUGAACCAUUUCCUAACAUAUGUUUGACGCUUGUCAAGAGAAAACAACUCACUUCAAGCAUAUAAAUAAGCAUGCAUACUUCAAGCAAAAAUUUAAUACUAAAUACUUUCUUCCUCCCUCUGUCUCGCCUCAUGUUGUCUCUCUUCCUUUUGUGCCUUUUUAUUGUCCUCUAUUUCACAUCAAAAUUUAUGGCCAAAUGGGAGCUAAAUGUGUGCAGUUUUGGUAUUCGUCUGGUUUCUUAUUGCUAUUGUUCUUUCUGUAAACAGGUAUGGUACUGCUGAUAAAUCUAUCUGGCAUUACCAAAUUGAUAUUUGCUUAGAUCUGUUUAAAUUGUGUGUUGCUCCUAAAUAGAUGUGAAUGAUAAGUGUGUAUAUUUUGUGCAGGUGUAAAUUUUUAUUUGUUCCACAUUGUUGUUUAUUUUGUGUAGUGUUUAGUAUACAUCAACAUAGUAAUAGAUGCACAUAUUUUUUUGGGAAAACUACAUAAUUAGCCAUCGAAGUCAAAGCAUUUACUUGAGCAUGCCCAUUUACUUUAAUACCCGCCAUUUUGGUGAUACCAAUUGUACACCAUUUUGGCACUAAAAAAAAGUGCUUAAAGUUGGAGAUCCCCUAAGCUCAUCUUUUCUUUAUCUUUUUUUUUUCUUUUGUUAUUUUAUAUAAAUAUUUUCUUUUUUUGUGUAGGUACUUUUUCUUUUAAUGAUAAAAAUAAAUAACUUGUCCCUCUAUGAUACCUUCUUAAUAAAUGAUAUAUACCAACUUGGUAUCAUGAAAGACUAAGCUCAUUUUAUUUUUUUUUGUUGAAGGAAUGAAUCAGUCCUCUAUGAUGUUAGUAUAUGAUAUGUAUUGGGUUGUUAUCAUAGGUUAUUUCAUAGAAGACUGAACUCUUUUUUGAAGGAAUGAACAAGUCGUCUAUGAAAACAUGUCGGUGUAUGUUAUACAUAACGUGGUUAUCAUAGGCGACCAAAGAGUAUUUUUUGAAAAGAAUGAACCAAAUACCACAUUCUAUGAAUACAUUGUAAUGUAUUACAAAUACGGAUAAAAUAUGUAGUCCAUGAUCUGGG
rnacentral:lncRNA from 1 species